GAAGCGCGUCUGCUGUUUUCUGUACUUCCUCGUCGGACGAGUCACUUGACGCAACUUUGACCAAAUAGCCCUUUUGACUAAAAUUGCAAAAGACAUUGAUGCUUGCAAUAAAUUUACUUGUAUUCUUUGUUGCGGCCGUGCAAAUUUACAGCGUGGCACCUAUCAUUCGCACGCUCAAUUAUUUCAAGACCAGCUCUCAAGUUGCAAAGCUACCAGAGUUCUUGGAGGCGGCGCAUGUUGACGGCGUUCAGAUUCAGCAGUUUGACAGCAACCACAGGGACACGAAAGCCAAACAUGACCGGGUGAACAAAAUCACAGAAGAUAAUCCCCACUUCUGGGAGAUAGUGAUCAAUAUUCAGAAUGAGCAGAACAUGAAGGACAACAUUGAAACCGCUAAAAAGCACUUCAACACAACUGGAGGUGUUCACAUGAUUCAGGUGAUAAGCGCCUGUGAACGGGAUGAUGAGACGGGUGAAGUUGAUGGUUGGGAGCAAUACUGUUACGAUGGAGAAUACUUCCUAUCAUUUGAGGGGAAGACGAAGUGGAUUGCAGCAAAUCUACAAGCUUUCAUCCCCAAAUUGCAGUUAAUAGAUGGGUACAAUGAAGCCAGGAAGAAUUACUCCACUGAGGAGUGUCCUUCUGAUUUGAAGAAGCAUGUGAACAACGGGAAGGACUUCCUGACGAGAACCGAGCUUCCCAAGGUGUCUCUCCCGCAGAAGACACCUUCCUCUCCGGUCACCUGCCACGCCACGGGUUUCUACCCCAUUACAUCGUCCCUCUUUUGGAGGAAGAACAGCGAGGAGAUCCACGAGGACGUGGAGAUGCGGGAGACCCGCCCCAACCACGACAGAACCUUCCAGACCUCGGUCCACCUGAAAGUGGAAGUGACGCCUGCCGCGGAGCAGGAGUACGAAUGCGUGUUCCGGCUGGCCGGCGUCUCGGAAAACAUCGUCAUCAAGCUGGACGCCGGAAGCAUCCUGAGCAACCAGGAGCAAGACAGGAAGAAGGCGGUGGCCAUCGGCGUCCCAUUGGUGGUCCUCGCUCUGGUGGCGGUGGUGAUGUUCUUUGCCGAGCGUCUCAAAAGCAAACACAAAUGUUUGCUCUGUCAGGAACCUCCAAAGAGAACAUUGUUUGUGACCAUUCCAAAUCUCCUCUUGCUUCUCUUUCAUUUCAGCCGAACACUCUCAAGCUUGGAAGUAAAACGUUUUCCGCUUCCUUUGAGCCACAAUAACAAGGCAGCCAUGUCAAGGUUUGAUUCAAACCUAAAGAGUCAGGCGUCGGAAUUCUUUCAGAGGACUUUCUCAUCACAACACAGAUGUUUUUUUCUUCUUCAACGAUAGGUAUGUUUCGGUUCAAUUAAGUUUUUGGAUGCUUUCAACGACAAUAGCGACAAGCUUCAUUCUUGUUUGAUUGCAUUUCCUAUUUUGAAAUGCCGUUUGAUCCCAGGUCUUCAUCCAUUAGACUAACACGUUUCUCAGAAGGUGAGGUUCUUGACUGCCUCUACCUUUGCUUGGUUAACACAUAAUGGUACUGCCAUAAAUAGGCUAACGGAUAGCAUCUUUGUAGUGGAGGUGGUGGUAUUUGAACACAAAUGGCGCAUCAACACAUAACAACAACUAUAAGAACACAGGUACAUAUUCGUUAUCCUCUGCAUAGAAACAAAUAGUACAGCUUGAUUUGUUGACUGUGAUCCGGAAUAACACAAUCACAAACAUAGGCAAAGCAUUAACACCAUGAAUGGGUACAACCGUGAACCGCUAUCUCACAUUAAUGAUGUUGAACUUGUUAUAUAUUGCUGGAUGAUGUGCGCCAGAGUAUCCCUGGUUGUAUACUUGGUUGGCUCUGUACUCGGGAGACUCGACUUCAACUUGGUCACAUGACACUAUUUGCCUCAAGAGUUUUGUACCUCGCUUAUUUUGAGACUGACCUGGCUUGAUACUCAACUUGAACUAUGUGACUCUAGGCCUUCAGAAGCACUGACAUGCACUAACAAGCUAAGCAGUGACGGGUGGAUGGUGUUAAAAGCGCUGGAGAAGUCGAAGAACAUGAUCCUCCCAGUGCUCCUGUUGUCCUCCAGUAAAACGAUGGACGCGCAGAAGUUGCGUAAACCGGCGACAUUGAAGCAUCUGGCUUCGACAAGACCUAAGACGCCAGGGAUAACCAAGGACAACAAACGUGACUAUCGUUCAAUGGAGGUGACAACGCAGGCAAAACGCGAAGCAGGCUCCUCGCCAAGUAAGGCAGUGAAGGAGAACAAAGCUAAGACUUCCGAGGAGAAAAAGGACGACCGAGCUGUCAACUCGGAAGAAAUUGAUGGACUGAAGAAGAGAGCUGUGGAGCUCAAGAAUGACUGAACAAAACCAAACAGACUGUUUGAAUAAUAUUAUGUCUUCGAGCGAGAGGUAUUGAGGAAACGAGGGAUGAAAAUCUCCGGGAGACUCUGGUUCAAAUACUGAACAGGAUUGUUCCAGAUGUUAGGAUACGGAUUUUAGCUAUUGAUCUGACUCCAAAUUGUGAUCAACACUUAACACAAGAAUUGCUAUGUUCUAAUCCACACACUGGCGCACCUAACAAUUUUGCGAGUUCGUUCUGUCAAAGAGAAGACCAGUGGAUCAAUCAGACCGAAUUUACCAAUUGUUUAAUCUUGACAAAGCAAGCUAAUACAGGCGCCUGGGUCUUGGGUCCUUAACACAAAAAACUUGUGUGCCUUCUGUGACCAUCAAAAGACAACACAUUCUUCUGGGUUGCCCAGUUUUAAAGAAACAUAAUAUGAAUAUUCAAGCAUGCAAAAUAUUGUGUGGUGAUUGGUCGAUGGUUGAUGGCCAUCUCCUCCUCGUUUGGGUUUUCCCCUGCUCAGCACAGGUGUCUGGACCACAAUGACGAGUUGUUAUUCGCGUUCCCCAUCGGCCUUGAGAUGUCCUCCCUGUCUGGACAUCCUGUUCCACAAUACUUUGAAGAAAACAAAUCCAUGUAGUCUGCACAUUCCUUUCCACUUAUUAAGCGACCACACUACUACUAGAAAUUAUAUUGAUAUGAUUAUACGUGUCUAACGCAGCCUUAAUCAAAUGUGUUUGCAAACUGCCAAAAGUACAUUUCCCUUUACAGAGCUCGCAGUGAAAAUGGACAGAUGUUGUUCACAGGCUGGGGAAAAAAAGAAGACAAGCGCGCAAGGCAAGUAGCAGUCGGGAUAGAAUAUUGAUCUUUAAUGGUGGAGGACGGGAUUACGUUGGUGGUCCCUACAUUUACGUAUAAGGUCGUCGUGUUGGAGAAGAUGGACAUGAAACCUUAAUGGUGGAGGACAUGAGUGCAGUUUAAGAGUUAGGGUUGAGAGUGUCCCGUCCCGUCCCGUCCCGUCCCCAGCCGUUCAACUAUGUGUCUGUUGUCAUGGUUUCUGUCUGUGUGCUCGGCCCUCCCCUGCUGUGUGAUCAUUCUCACCUGCCUCUCAUUACCUGUCGCGUACUUAAGUCCUGUCUGUCCUUCGCUCCCCGUCGGAUCAUGAAUGUCUUCACGUCCUUUGUGUCACAGCCCUGGCGGUUAGUCCUCUUGUUGUUUUGUUAAGUCAUGUCAGUUUGCCGAGUCUGUCAGUUUGUUUUCUUCAAUCAACCCUGGUCCGAGCUGCACUUGGUCGCCCUGCUCCAUCCAUUCCGAUCCGUGACAGUUCUCCAACCGAGACUGGAACAUCACCCCGGACGAAAGGCAAGCUAGGUGGUCCGAGAGAACUGGGAAACCCCAAUAUAACUCCAUAACGGAUAAGUUUACGACGAAUAAUAAUCUAUAAAGAAGUCGAGAAUAAGAGAAUUUUCAUGGUUGAAACCCAAUGGAAGCUGUAGUAAAUCCAGAAUUGAUUACUGGUUGGGCACCAACGAUGUAACGUGGCAAAUCACAAAAGGUUUCAAUGUCUAAAGCACCUUUAUCAUAUUAUGUUUACUUUAGAACCUGCCAUCAAGAAAAUGACUGUAACCAGAUCAAAAAAUUGAUUGCUGAAAUAGAACAUGAUCACAUAAGUCCAAUUAAUAAAUGGGAAUUUCUCAAAUUCAA